rnacentral:lncRNA from 1 species
ACCUGCUUUUCAGUCUACUUUUCUACUAUUGCUUUCCACUCAUUGAAGGUCCCAAACACAACAUUUUUCUGUUUCAAGAAAGAUACCCAAACUUUCUUGGAGAAAUCAUCAAUUAUUGUCAACAAAUAAUAAGCACCUCAUUUACUAGGUAUUCUUGCCAUUCCCCAAAGAUUUGAAUGGAUAUAUUCAAGGGUUUUCUUGUUUUGUAUCUACUUUAGUAAAUCUAACUCUUUU